GCCUGGGUGGCUCAGUCGGUUAAGCGUCCGACUUCGGCUCAGGUCACGAUCUCAGGGUUCGUGAGUUCGAGCCUUGCUUCGGGCU
rnacentral:tRNA from 1 species